rnacentral:lncRNA from 1 species
ACUAUUGUUUGUCCUCAAACAAUGCAGUGACUCAGAGUUAAACUAACAUGGCUUAAUAGCUUGCCGUGUCUCAGGAUUGGAACUCAGCAAUACACUAGAACAAUAUCAAUAUUGCAAGAAUAAAAUUAACCUUUACUCGUCAGUUGCAAUACUCAACGUGUGUGUGUGAACUCAUGCCAACUUAUCAAGCUUAUGAAUGGUUUGUUCCCGACCCAUAAUGGUCAAAUUUAUCCUUACAUCACUCGAGAGAUACACAAAUCCCCCAAACUUAUUCUUUU